rnacentral:rRNA from 1 species
UCUCAAAAAUAACGUCCCAGUUCGGACUGUAGUCUGCAACCCGACUACACGAAGCUGGAAUCGCUAGUAAUCGCGAAUCAGCAUGUCGCGGUGAAUACGUUCCCGGGUCUUGUACACACCGCCCGUCACACCAUGGGAGUCGAUAACGCCCGAAGUCGGUGACCCAACCGCAAGGAGGGAGCCGCCGAAGGCGGGAUUGGUAACUGGGGUGAAGUCGUAACAAGGUAUC